CACCAGCAUUAUCUAGACGGAUUGUCUUUAUUGUAUAGUCUGGAAAUUGUGCUCUCAAUCUUAUUAUUUGAGCCAACAAUCUCGCAAAAGCCAUGUUACGAGUUGAUAAUAAACACACAUGUGACCAUCUUGUAGAAGCAUCUAUCAAGACCAUAUAAUAUUUAAAGGGUCCACAUGCAGGUUGAAUUGGUCCACAUGCAGGUUGAAUUGGUCCACAUUUAUCACCCUGUAUACGUUCCAGAAACUCAGGGGAUUCAAUUCCAACCUUAACUGUUGAUGGUUUAAUGAUCAACUUUCCUUGAGAACAAGCAGCACAAGAGAAUUCCUUUGAUUGAAGGAUAUUUGGGCUCUUUAAGGUGUGCCCAUAUGAAUUCUCAAUGAUUUUGCGCAUCAUAUUAAAUCCGGGAUGGCCCAACCGGUCAUGCCAAAUGAUAAAAUCAUUAAAAUUAGUAAACCUUUUGUUUACUAUGGCAUGUGAUUCAACUAUACUUAUACUUGUAUAGUACAACCCAGAAGAAAAUGCAGGUAAUUUUUCAUGCACAAUUUUCUUCUCUACAUUAAUUGUAGUAAUGUAAAGGUAUUCAACCUUUCCUUCAUUAGCCGUCUCAACAUGAUAGCCAUUUUGGCGAAUAACUUUGAAACUUAAUAAGUUUCUUUGAGACUUACUACAAUAUAAUGCAUUAUCAAUGCUUAAUAUUGUCCCUCCAGGUAGUAAUAAGGUCGCUCUUCCAGAGCCCUCAAUUAAUUUUGUACUACCUGAUAUUGUGUUGACAUAUGCCAUUUUCAUAACCAAAUUAGAAAAGUAUUUCUUUUCUUUUAAUAUUGUAUGCGUUGUAGCACUAUCAAGAAGGAAUACAUCUCCAUUACUCAUCUUGAAUCCAACUGUCAACUGGGGAUUUCUAUUAAUUUUCAUUAAAAUAAAAU
rnacentral:lncRNA from 1 species